UUUGUAAAUGCGGCAGUCUAAUGUGUUAUUGGGCAGCAAUUCGAGUUUAAAUGAGCAUGUGGGAUGGUUUAACAGCUGAUUGCACAGCGUGAAUGACUGCAGCGGAACUGUCAGGUUGGGAAGCGGUGCUGGUAGGGGAAUUCAUGCAGUUAGCACCCAGAGUCGCGCAUGCGUGUUACUUAGCGCAGAGACCUAGGAACUUAGCCCAGGUCUCUUGAUACAAAAGGGAAAUGGAGGGCAAGAAGGGAGGAUUGGAGUCUGAUUUGAGGGGCAGCAUAAAACUUGUCUCUGCCUGCAUGCAACCUUCACCUCUUCUGUGAGUCAUCCAUGGGGCGCCCUGGCCACUCAGCACUGCACCUCUUGUAGGAAGCGGUCGAUCUGAGAUCACAGCGCACACGUGAAGGUCAGAUGACAACUUGCAGGGGUCAGUUCUCUUCCUCCACCACGUGGCUCCCAGGGGAAGGGGACCUCAGGCUUGUCAGGCGCCGGAGGGAAUCAGAACUAGAUUCCACUUGGUAAGCGGACGCGGCGAUGAAGACAGGAAUCAACACCACUGUUGAAACGGACCGACAGGAUCCAGCAUAGCUCAUCCCAUGGCUCCCUGCCACUGCGUUUAUAAUCCAUUCCCCUGCCCCCCCCCCCCAAACUGUAUAAAAGCCAUUGGCAAGGACAGUCGCCACAAACAGCAGGCAAACGGAGACCGAAGAGCUGAGCCAACAAGGAUCUCCACUACCCUCUAAUCCGGCCUGCACCAAACAAAACACAACUCGGUAGGAAACACCAUGAGUGAACAGAAGCCUCACUGGAGAGCUCACUGUGGAUGAAUGCCAGGUGACUAUUGGUGCCCAUCGCCAAGGACUUACUUUUCCCUGUUUAAGGACACAUACAGGGUUAGGGGGAAAGACUCUCUGGCAAUUACAGAGUCUGGUCUUGGUUAAGACGGGGCUUAGCAUCAACACUAUUAUAUUUUCUCUAUCCAAGCACCUGUUUGAGAAGAUUCCAAACUGUAUAAAUGAUUUCAGACUUAUUUCAAUUAAAUU